CAGCCGCCGCGGGAAUACGGGGGGGGCAAGUGUUAUUCGGAAUGACUGGGCGUAAAGGGCACGUAGGCGGUGAAAAGGGUGGAAAGUGAAAGUCGCCAAAACACUGGCGGGGUGCUUUCUUGACCAUUUCACUUGAGUGAGAUAGGGGAGAGUGGAAUUUCGUGUGGAGGGAUCAAAUCCUAAGAUAUACGAAGGAACGCCAACCGCGAAGGCAGCUCUCUGGGUCCCCACUGACGCUGGGGUGCGAAAGCAUGGGGAGCAAACAGGAUCAGAGACCCCAGUAGUCCCUGUCUCUUAUACA
rnacentral:rRNA from 1 species